rnacentral:lncRNA from 1 species
ACUCGCAGGCCAUUUGCGACCUCAUCUAUUCCCUCUUUGUCGCCGAGGAGGUCGACAAGGUGGAGCUCGUCUACUCCAAGUUCGUCAACCUCGUCCGCUCCGACCCCAUCAUCCAGACGCUGCUGCCCAUGUCCCCUAAGGGCGAGAUCUGCGAUGUCAACGGCAUCUGUGUCGACGCCACCGAGGACGAGCUCUUCAAGCUCACCACCAAGGAAGGCAAGCUCACCGUGGAGCGCGAGAAGAUCAAGAUCGAGAUGCAGCCCUUCUCCCCCGUCGUCCAGUUCGAGCAGGACCCCGUCCAGAUCCUCGACGCUCUCCUCCCGCUCUACCUCAACAGCCAGAUCCUGCGUGCCCUCCAGGAGUCGCUCGCUAGCGAGCUCGCCGCCAGGAUGAGCGCCAUGAGCAGCGCCACAGACAAUGCCAUCGACCUCCGGAAAAAUCUCUCCAUGGUCUACAACCGCCGACGCCAGGCCAAGAUCACCGGAGAGAUCCUUGAGAUCGUCGCUGGCGCCGACGCCCUGUCCGGCUGAUUCCUCCUCCCCACUUGAGCUGAGCCGCCGCUGUUAUAUAUAACUCUUUGCCUCCUUUUCUCCUCUCUUCUACUUAUCUUGCUUGGUCUGUGUCUGUCUGUAAUAAUUUCUCAUAGCACAAAAAAGGAUGUCUGUUCUAAGAUUCAGUUCGGAGAUGCCAAAUGUAUAAUCCAGAGUAAUUUAUCUAUGCAAUCCCGCCUCCACCCAUAUGCAAUUUGUUUAUGCAACCCAGAGUAAUCCCAUAUGCAGUUUCUU